GUGUAUAUAAUUUUAGAUUAUUACAAUCGUCUUGUACCCACAUGUGGACUACACUUCUUGGAUUACCACCUAUAUAUUGUAUGUGUGCUUACCUCGAAAUUUUAAUGAAAUAUAUGUAUACCGAUUUCGUCAAAAAAACAUGAUGUAUUGGAAAAAAAAUUGAACAAGAGAGAGUCGUACUGCUGCCUGGGAUGAAUUAUAAUCAAAUGAGAACUUUCUUGUACCGUUCUUCCUCCAAACAUUAAACCCCGUCCAAGUACGGCAGCUGCGUACUACUAUGUCCUCUCUCCCUCUCUCUCUCUCUCUCAAUAAUUAAAACCAAAACCGAAAAAUCAAAGGAUAAUCAGCG
rnacentral:lncRNA from 1 species